rnacentral:rRNA from 1 species
UACAGAGGUCUCAAGCGUUGUUCGGAUUCAUUGGGCGUAAAGGGUGCGUAGGCGGCGCGGUAAGUCGGGUGUGAAAUCUCGGAGCUUAACUCCGAAACUGCAUUCGAUACUGCGUGCUUGAGGACUGGAGAGGAGACUGGAAUUUACGGUGUAGCAGGUGAAAUGCGUAGAUAUCGUAAGGAAGACCAGUGGCGAAGGCGGGUCUCUGGACAGUUCCUGACGCUGAGGCACGAAGGUCAGGGGAGCAAAACGGG